ACAUAUCGCUCAGGGAUUUUAUCACUUUAUGCUCAUUGUCUUUAACAUCAGCCAUGCUCCCAGAUUCUUCCAAUUCCCUGUGAGGCGGUGCAGUUGCCCAGCUUUCUGAAUUGACUAGAAGCUCACGUAGCACUUUAGCUCCUGCAUUACCAGCCCUCUGCAGCUCAAGAGCAAACACGUGUCUCUUCUCUGCUGGUGCCUGCAUGUAGAGAAAUUCAUAAAAUCUGAUUAUGCAGCUAACAUAUCGAGCUAUGUAAAUUUGCCAAUAUCAAAUCAGCAAUGCAAGUCAACUUCUAGCAGAGGUUUCUUUCA